rnacentral:rRNA from 1 species
GACGUAGGGCGCAAGCGUUUGUCCGGAUUUAUUGGGCGUAAAGAGCUCGUAGGCGGCUUGUCGCGUCGACUGUGAAAACCCGCGGCUUAACUGUGGGACUGCAGUCGAUACGGGCUAGCUAGAGUUCGGUAGGGGAGACUGGAAUUCCUGGUGUAGCGGUGAAAUGCGCAGAUAUCAGGAGGAACACCGGUGGCGAAGGCGGGUCUCUGGGCCGAUACUGACGCUGAGGAGCGAAAGCGUGGGGAGCGAACAGG